GACGAACGCUGGCGGCGUGCUUAACACAUGCAAGUCGAACGGAAAGGCCCUGCUUUUGUGGGGUGCUCGAGUGGCGAACGGGUGAGUAACACGUGAGUAACCUGCCCUUGACUUUGGGAUAACUUCAGGAAACUGGGGCUAAUACCGGAUAGGAGCUCCUGCUUCAUGGUGGGGGUUGGAAAGUUUCGGCGGUUGGGGAUGGACUCGCGGCUUAUCAGCUUGUUGGUGGGGUAGUGGCUUACCAAGGCUUUGACGGGUAGCCGGCCUGAGAGGGUGACCGGCCACAUUGGGACUGAGAUACGGCCCAGACUCCUACGGGAGGCAGCAGUGGGGAAUAUUGCACAAUGGGCGGAAGCCUGAUGCAGCAACGCCGCGUGCGGGAUGACGGCCUUCGGGUUGUAAACCGCUUUCGCCUGUGACGAAGCGUGAGUGACGGUAAUGGGUAAAGAAUCACCGGCUAACUACGUG
rnacentral:rRNA from 1 species